CCGGUGGCUGGAAAUGAAGAAGGAAUCACAGCUGCUGUGGUUGCCAAGCAUGGAAGGAUCUCUCAGCUGCAUCCAGAGUCUUACACCCUCCUCUUCUUCCAAGCUGUGGAGAAAAAUUUCUGACCCGAGAUCACCUCAGCAGCACUCCCAGGACCCAUCCAGCCAUUUCCCCCAUCCCCAAAAUUUGCAGGAGGAAGAGUUAUUUCAAGAAAGCAAAAACGUGUUGCCUGAAACAUACAAAAAGAUUCUUCUCUUUCUCCUA